UACGAAGGGGGCUAGCGUUGCUCGGAAUCACUGGGCGUAAAGGGUGCGUAGGCGGGUCUUUAAGUCAGGGGUGAAAUCCUGGAGCUCAACUCCAGAACUGCCUUUGAUACUGAGGAUCUUGAGUUCGGGAGAGGUGAGUGGAACUGCGAGUGUAGAGGUGAAAUUCGUAGAUAUUCGCAAGAACACCAGUGGCGAAGGCGGCUCACUGGCCCGAUACUGACGCUGAGGCACGGAAAGCGUGGG
rnacentral:rRNA from 1 species